rnacentral:misc_RNA from 1 species
GUGAAUCAUCAAAUUUUUGAACGCAAAUUGCACUCCCUUCGGAGAGUAUGCCUGUUUGAGGGUCAGCCUAAAAAAAAUCGACAUAGUCGCUGUUGCGCGUAGCUAUACAUCGGAAAUUGGGUCAUCUUAAACCUUGGGGUUUUAAGAGGGUUAAAAUUUUCUUUACGAUUCUAUGAAGUUUGUU